CUUGGCUUCUUGUUUUAUAAAACACUAGAGUCUAUGAUGAACAAAAGCCCAGAGGUUAAAUAUUAUCACUUGUAACUUUAAAUACAAAGCACUAAACACACUUAAAGUCACCUGUAAUGAUAUUUAACUCUUGGUUUCUUGUUAAGUAUAUAGCGUAUGAAAACUGAUUAAACAAGAUAUAUUAUAUCUUAUAUUUAUUUAUUUCUCUCUAUGAAAUAAUCGUAAGCUCAGCCCCCUUCUGUCAUUACUAAUGUCAGUCUCAUUCUGAUGGACAGUUUAUAAAGAGCAGGAGACUUCACUCUUCUCACAGUCAUGGACUUCUCUGCACAGGAAUAAAAUCAGGUUCUUUUUUACUUAAGUUAUUAUUAAUACCAUUACAGUUGUUGUUGUUUUUCUAAUCUUAGCUUUGACUUCCAUCACUAUUAAAUACUGACCAAAGUUUAAUGUUUUAAUGUAACAGAGUAUCCAGAACCAUGGGUGCCCAGGUUUCAGUCGUCAAUCAGACUCCUUACACCUGGUACUUUGCCACUCAAGACAGAGGGUAUACAUACAUCGGUCCUGGCAGCACAACAUCCUAUAAAGAGUCUCUGGCAAUCCAUCGCUACAUCCACAUCAGAUAUGAAAAUCACUCGUGGAAUAGUUUUUCAUACGAGUUUAACACCCAUAAAGGUGACACAUCUUUUAUCCUAAGAGAAACCUACGACCGUUCCCAGAUUCAGUUGCACUGCACCUCUGAAGGCGGCACUCAUUACUGUCCCAACUACGGAAAAAUUAAAGAAGAUGAAAACCGGAGACAGCAGCAAGAGGAGGAGAGAAGACGUCAGGAACGACAAAUCGAAGAAGAUAACAAACGGAGACAGCAAGAAGAGGAGAGAAGACGUCUGGAACGUUUGGAACGUGAACAAAGGAUUCAACAGGAGCUGGACAGAGAGAGUGAACUGUCCAGACGCAAGCUUUCUCGAGCAACUGAGCGGCUUCGUGAAAAACAGAGCUUCAGAGGUCAUGAGAAACAUCAUGAACGUAUACAAGUUCUCCAACAGCAAAUAGAAGAUGAUGCUGCUGCGAUCGAGAGGAACGAGGUUAUCGAUAUCGAAGAAAAAUUCAACAACCUUUUAUUUAAGUAUCAGAUCACAGAAGAUAAAGAAAUACAGCAGCACCAAAUUUGGAGCAGGAUUAAGAUACUCCUGAAUGAAGUUGCAGUUCAAUAUUGUAGAGAAAACAACCUUUCACUAUGGUCUCAGUUUACCUUUGAUCAAGCUGUAAGAUAUAACGAACUGUCUCUUACAGAGAAGCUCACAGUUCUUGAGGCAUCUCUACAGUUCAUUAUGCACAGUAGCACUGAAGAUGCUAAAGAUGACGAAGAUCAGCCGCUUGGUUGGGAGAAGUACCACUUUUUCUUGGGUUUGUUGGAGCAGCUUCAUUUCACAAGUCCAACUUUGGCCGAACACAUUUUAUUAAAUGUACUUGACACAAUCUCAGAGCUUUCACCCAAAAGUAGGGACAUUUUGGGUCAAAUGUUGUUCAACAGAAUCUGGACACCAACAGAAAUAAUGCUCUUACUUUGCAGAAGUCCAACUAUCAAAUGCCAUCAACUCGAUUCAGUUCUCCACACAGCACAAACCUACCACCUGGACUGCAUCCUCGUUAUCUCUGCUCUUAUGAAUGAAAACACUUUAAACUUUCUUCAAGAACAAAUAAAAAACGACAAGGAAAAAGAUGCUGAUACAAUUGUGAAGGAACUUCAUGAAGCAAACUGCCCAGAGAAAGUCUUGGUGCCUUUGAAUGAUGUGCUCAGAUACAUGCAGUUGGAACUCCCAAAAUAUCAACUGGUGGACCUAACCAAAGAACAAAUUGCUGAAUUGAAAGGAAAGAUAAGAUCUCUUAAUUUUACAAACCUAGAUAUAAACCUUUUGAAAGACAUAUUAAUUGGGAUGUCAAUAGCAGUGCAAGACUGCUCAACAAUCAUCACAGCAGACAAUGUGAAAAUUGAAGGAUAUUUUCCAAGACUUACACAACUAGCAUCAUUGCUUUUGCUUCUUCUGACAGAAAAUAAAGGAUGUCUCCUAGAGAUUGGCACAGGUGAGGGCAAGUCCUGUAUCUUAGCCAUGUUUGCAACAAUUUUUGAAAUGUUUGGUGUCACCUCAUCUGUAGUACCCCCACAUUACUCAAGUGACUAUUCACCAGAGAAACAAGAGGAAUGUCUUAAAGAUGCUUACCGGCAGCAAAUAGUAUACAGCACAGUGGGAGCCUUUGCAGCAGACACACUAAAACAGGAAUUUGAGAAGAGGACAACUCGCGGUACAAGGCAGUUUGAGCUUGUAAUAGUGGAUGAAGUGGACUAUAUGACCUUGGACAAUGGAGUUCAAGUAACAUUCUUGUCCCAUGAAUCUAGUGGAUUCAGGCAUGUGGAGCAAGUGCUUUCCAACAUAUGGGCCAUGAUAUCUAGUUGCCAACCAAUUGAAAUGCUUGAAACAGGAGAGGUAAAAUGGGCCACAAGGAUACAAUACUUUCAUAAAGCCAUAACGGCAGCCAUUAUGGGACUAGAAACAUCAGACAACUUUUCUGCAAAUGAGAUCUUAUUGCCCGGAGUGACUCUGGGAUUCUACACCCACGAAGAUAUUGAAAUGAUACAUCAAGCUGAGAGUAAGAAAGAAAAUGAAGGUAAUGGGAAUGAAGACAGAAUGUCCAAAACAUUAUCUGAAGUCAUGAAAAAACUGGGAGUUUCACAACAGUAUGAUCUCUUGGGUAUAUUUGAGGAGGUCUUGGAAAACAGUGUGGUGUUUAAGUGCUAUUCUUUAGAGAACAAGAAAGCCAAAUGUUUUGACGCUCAGGAAAAACAAGGUGACCUUAAAGUUGAAAUGCUCCUGCUGGAAGGAGGACUGGCAUGUGAAAUCAUGUCUGAGAAAUCACUCAUUGAUGCAACUGUAAGCACAAUAAAGUCAUCUAUCAAGUACUCAGAUAACCUCCAGACAGCCAAAGAAUCCAACAACUUCAUUAUCAUCCCUGUUUUCUUAAAAAGCUAUGUUGAGAAUCAGUUACUGGUGUUUGUCGAAAAUGCACUGAAGGCUGUUGAGAUGACGCGUGGCAGAGAAUACAUGAUCGACACCUCGCCGGCUGCUGAAAGAGACAUCGCCAACAGUCAAGACAGAGACAAGUAUAAUGCAGUAAUUCCAGUGGACUUCAAAGCAAGCGGUGUGCUGGAGAAAAACAAGAAGUGGGGUAAUGGUCUGCAACAAUUUUUAGAGUUCAAGCACCAACUCGCGAUUUCACCGAUAUCCAAUGUGACAAAUUACAUGUCAAAUUUCCAUUAUUUUAAAAGGUACCUCAGUGGGAGAGGUAUAUUUGGUGUUUCUGGUACAUUAGGAGGUAAAGCAGAUCAGGAUUUUCUGGCAAGACAUUAUAAAGCAACAUGCAACAAUUUUUAG
rnacentral:lncRNA from 1 species